CAUAGCGACUAUCGUGGCAUAUCAAUAAGCGGAGGAAAAGAAACUAACAAGGAUUCCCUUAGUAACGGCGAGUGAAGCGGGAAGAGCUCAAAUUUGAAAUCUUCAAGGUUCUACCUUGACGAAUUGUAGUUUAUAGAAGUGUUUUCUGUUAGUGGAGUGGCAAAAGUUCUUUGGAAUAGGACAUCAUAGAGGGUGAGAAUCCCGUAUUUGGUCAUUCCUCCUAGCGUUGUGAUACACUUUCAACGAGUCGGAUUGUUUGGGAAUGCAGUCCAAAAUGGGUGGUAAAUUUCAUCUAAAGCUAAAUAUUGGCGAGAGACCGAUAGCGAACAAGUACCGUGAGGGAAAGAUGAAAAGAACUUUGAAAAGAGAGUUAAACAGUACGUGAAAUUGUCAAAAGGGAAGCGUUUGACACCAGUGUUGUUUUUCCGAAAAUCAAUUACGAAUGUUUUGUUUUUGAGGAGUUAUGACUUCAUCGGCUUGCUCCUUUCUUUACGAAACUUUCUUAAUGCACUUUUCGGUUAACAAGUCAACAUCAAUUUCUUUUGUUGUAAAAGGGUAUGAGGAAGGUGGCUUUCCUUUCGGAGAAAGUGUUUAUAGCCUUGUGCCUCUGCAAUCGGAGAGAUUGAGGUCUGCAGCGUAGAUCCUUCGGGGUUAGAUACGUUUGUGCUAAGUUAUAGCUUUUCAUAGACAACUUGUUGACUAUGUUAGUCUUGUAGCUUACUCGCUUAUGCUAUUUUACCUACGCUUAGGAUGUUGACGAGACUGUCGAUCUC
rnacentral:rRNA from 1 species